GAGGCUCAAGAAGCACAGACCUCAGACAUCUCGGGGAUCAUCAUGUCACGAGAUACCCACUGUGCACUUGUGACAGAUUGAUAACUGAAAGGUCUGAGAGCCACUCACCUUCAUAGCAUU
rnacentral:pre_miRNA from 15 species